rnacentral:lncRNA from 1 species
AACAACGAGAAGGCAGCUCUGCUCCUGUAGAUUUAAAUAAGCUGGCUACUGAUGAAAAGCCAGAGAGGGAUAAUUUUGCUGCGGAGCAUAUUGGGCGAGUAUCAAGAAGGAAGUAUAGAUCAAGAUCUGGGGAGGACGAGGACGAGGAUGAAAAUGGAGAAAAAAAUGCACAUAAUGAAGGGAAACCAAGACGGAAGUACAGGUCAAGGCCUGGGAGACACGAGGAGAAUGAUGUAAAUGGAGAAGAAACAGAGAUGAAGCACUCAAGGAGGGAGCACCGUUCUCAUUCUUCUUCUCUGGAAGAUGGAGAAAAAAGUGAAGAGGACAGGGAACGCGAGCGCUCAAAAAGGAAGCACCGGUCUCGUAUUU